GAAACAUAAUACAUGUGUGAAUAUAUAGACAAACAGAGUGUCACUAGUAUGCCUCUACUUGACUAGCUUGUUAAUCAAAGAUGGUUAUGUUUCCUAACCAUGAACAAGGAGUUGUUAUUUGAUUAACAAGGUCACAUCAUUAGUUGAAUGAUCUGAUUGACAUGACCCAUUCCAUUAGCUUAGCACCCGAUCGUUUUAGUAUGUUGCUAUUGCUUUCUUCAUGACUUAUACAUGUUCCUGUGACUAUGAGAUUAUGCAACUCCCGUUUACCGGAGGAACACUUUGUGUGCUACCAAACGUCACAACGUAACUGGGUGAUUAUAAAGGUGCUCUACAGGUGUCUCCAAAGGUACUUGUUGAGUUGGCGUAUUUCGAGAUUAGGAUUUGUCACUCCGAAUAUCGGAGAGGUAUCUCUGGGCCCUCUCGGUAAUACACAUCACUUAAGCCUUGCAAGCAUUUCAACUAAUGAGUUAGUUGCGAGAUGAUGUAUUACGGAACGAGUAAAGAGACUUGCCGGUAACGAGAUUGAACUAGGUAUUGGAUACCGACGAUCGAAUCUCGGGCAAGUAACAUACCGAUGACAAAGGGAAAAACGUAUGUUGUUGUGCGGUUUGACCGAUAAAGAUCUUCGUAGAAUAUGUAGGAACCAAUAUGGGCAUCCAGGUCCCGCUAUUGGUUAUUGACCGGAGACGUGUCUCGGUCAUGUCUACAUUGUUCUCGAACCGUAGGGUCCGCACGCUUAAGGUUUCGAUGACAGUUAUAUUAUGAGUUUAUGUUAUUUGAUGUACCGAAGGUUGUUCGGAGUCCCGGAUGUGAUCACGGACAUGACGAGGAGUCUCGAAAUGGUCGAGACAUAAAGAUUGAUAUAUUGGACGGAUAUAUUUGGACACCGGAAAGGUUCCGGGUGAGAUUGGAAAUAUACCGGAGUUUCGGGAGGUUACCGGAACCCCCCGGUAAGUAUAUGGGCCUUAUUGGGCCUUAGUGGAAGGGAGGGAGAAGGAGCAAGGGAGGGGCGCCCCCCCCAAGCCCAAUCCGAAUUGGGAAGGGGGCCGGCCCCCCCUUUCCUUCUCUCCUCCCCCCUCUUCCUUCCUUCUCCUACUCCUAAUAGGAAAGGGGGGCCAAACCUACUUGGAGUAGGUUUGCCCCCCCUAUGGCGCGCCUCCUCCCUAGGCCGGCCUCCUCCUCCCUCCCUCCUUUAUAUACGGGGGCGGGGGGCACCCUAGAGAUAUAAGUUGAUCAUUGAGAUUGUUCCUUAGCCGUGUGCGGUGCCCCCCUCCACGAUAUUACACCUCGGUCAUAUUGUUGCGAUACUUAGGCGAAGCCCUGCGACAGGAGAACAUCAAGGUCGUCACCACGCCGUCGUGCUGACGGAACUCCUCCCCGCGCCUCUGCUGGAUCGGAGAUCGGGGUGCGUCAUCGAGUUGUACGUGUGUCAAGAACUCGGAGGUGCCGGAGUAACGGUGCUUGGAUCGGUUGGACCGGGAGGACGUACGACUACUUCCUCUACGUUGCGUCAACGCUUCCGCUUCGGUCUACGAGGGUACGUAGACAACACUCUCCCAUCUCGUUGCUAUGCAUCACCAUGAUCUUGCGUGUGCGUAGGAAAUUUUUUGAAAUUACUACGUUCCCCAACAGUGGCAUCCGAGCCUAGGUUUUUAUGGUUUGAUGUUAUAUGCACGAGUAGAACACAAGUGAGUUGUGGACGAUAUAAGUCAUACUACCUACCAGCAUGUCAUACUUUGGUUCAGCGGUAUUGUGAGAUGAAGCGGCCCGGACCGACAUUAUGCGUACGCUUACGCGAGACUGGUUUCACCGUUACGAGCACUCAUGCUUAAAGGUGGCUGGCGGGUGUCUGUCUCUCUCACUUUAGUUGAACCGAGUGUGGCUACGCCUGGUCCUUGUGAAGGUUAAAACGGAGUCUAUUUGACAAACUAUCGUUGUGGUUUUGAUGCGUAGGUAAGAUUGGUUCUUGCUUAAGCCCGUAGCAGCCACGUAAAACUUGCAACAACAAAGUAGAGGACGUCUAACUUGUUUUUGCAGGGCAUGUUGUGAUGUGAUAUGGCCAAGACAUGAUGCUAUAUUUUAUUGUAUGAGGUGAUCAUGUUUUGUAACCGAAGUUAUCGGCAACUGGCAGGAGCCAUAUGGUUGUCGCUUUAUUGUAUGAAAUGCAAACGCCCUGUAAUUGCUUUACUUUAUCACUAAGCGGUAGCGAUAGUCGUAGAAGCAAUAGAUGGCGUAAACGACAACGAUGCUACGAUGGAGAUCAAGGUGUCGCGCCGGUGAUGAUGGUGAUCAUGAUGGUGCUUCGGAGAUGGAGAUCACAAGCACAAGAUGAUGAUGGCCAUAUCAUAUCACUUAUAUUGAUUGCAUGUGAUGUUUAUCCUUUAUGCAUCUUAUCUUGCUUUGAUUGACGGUAGCAUUUUAAGAUGAUCUCUCACUAAAAAUUAUCAAGAAGUGUUCUCCCUGAGUAUGCACCGUUGCCAAAGUUCGUCGCGCCCAGACACCACGUGAUGAUCGGGUGUGAUAAGCUCUACGUCCAUCUACAACGGGUGCAAGCCAGUUUUGCACACGCAGAAUACUCAGGUUAAACUUGACGAGCCUAGCAUAUGCAGAUAUGGCCUUGGAACACGGAGACCGAAAGGUCGAGCGUGAAUCAUAUAGUAGAUAUGAUCAAUAUAAGAUGUUCACCAUUGAAAACUACUCCAUCUCACGUGAUGAUCGGUUAUGGUUUAGUUGAUUUGGAUCACGUGAUCACUUAGAUGACUAGAGAGAUGUCUGUCUAAGUGGGAGUUCUUAAGUAAUAUGAUUAAUUAAACUUAAAUUUAUCAUGAACUUAGUACCUGAUAGUAUCUUGCUUGUCUAUGUUGAUUGUAGAUAGAUGGCCCGUGCUGUUGUUCCGUUGAAUUUUAAUGCGUUCCUUGAGAAAGCUAAGUUGAAAGAUGAUGGUAGCAACUACGCGGACUGGGUCCGUAACUUGAGGAUUAUCCUCAUUGCUGCACUGAAAAUUACGUCCUGGAAGCACCGCUGGGUGCCAGGCCUGCUGCUGAUGCAACUGACGACGUUAAGAACGUCUGGCAGAGUAAAGCUGAUGACUACUCGAUAGUUCAAUGUGCCAUGCUUUACGGCUUAGAACCGGGACUUCAACGAUGUUUUGAACGUCAUGGAGCAUAUGAGAUGUUCCAGGAGUUGAAGUUAAUAUUCCAGAAGAAUGCCUGGAUUGAGAGAUAUGAAGUCUCCAAUAAGUUCUAUAGCUGCAAGAUGGAGGAGAAUAGUUUUGUCAGUGAGCAUACACUCAAGAUGUCUGGGUAUUGUAAUCACUUGAUUCAACUGGGAGUUACUCUUCCGGAUGAUAGCAUCAUUGACAGAAUUCUCCAAUCACUUCCACCAAGCUACAAGAGCUUCGUGAUGAACUAUAAUAUGCAAGGGAUGGAUAAGACGAUUCCCGAGCUCUUCGCAAUGCUAAAGGCUGCGGAGGUAGAAAUCAAGAAGGAACAUCAAGUGUUGAUGGUUAACAAGACCACUAGUUUCAAGAAAAAGGGCAAAGAGAAGAAGAAGAGGAACUUCAAGAAGAACAGCAAACAAGUUGCUGCUCAAGAGAAGAAACCCAAGUCUGGACCUAAGCCUGAAACUGAGUGCUUCUACUGCAAGCAGACUGGUCACUGGAAGCGGAACUGCCCCAAGUAUUUGGCGGAUAAGAAGGAUGGCAAGGUGAACAAAGGUAUAUGUGAUAUACAUGUUAUUGAUGUGUACCUUACUAUAGCUCGCAGUAGCACCUGGGUAUUUGAUACUGGUUCUGUUGCUAAUAUUUGCAACUCGAAACAGGGACUACGGAUUAAGCGAACAUUGGCAAAGGACGAGGUGACGAUGCGCGUGGGAAACGGUUCCAAAGUCGAUGUGAUCGCGGUCGGCACGCUACCUCUACAUCUACCUUCGGGAUUAGUAUUAGACCUAAAUAAUUGUUAUUUGGUGCCAGCGUUGAGCAUGAACAUUAUAUCUGGAUCUUGUUUGAUGCGAGACGGUUAUUCAUUUAAAUCAGAGAAUAAUGGUUGUUCUAUUUAUAUGAGUAAUAUCUUUUAUGGUCAUGCACCCUUGAAGAGUGGUCUAUUUUUGAUGAAUCUCGAUAGUAGUGAUACACAUAUUCAUAGUGUUGAAGCCAAAAGAUGCAGAGUUGAUAAUGAUAGUGCAACUUAUUUGUGGCACUGCCGUUUAGGUCAUAUCGGUGUAAAGCGCAUGAAGAAACUCCAUACUGAUGGACUUUUGGAACCUCUUGAUUAUGAAUCACUUGGUACUUGCGAACCGUGCCUCAUGGGCAAGAUGACCAAAACACCGUUCUCCGGUACUAUGGAGAGAGCAACAGAUUUGUUGGAAAUCAUACAUACAGAUGUAUACGGUCCGAUGAAUGUUGAGGCUCGUGGCGGAUAUCGUUAUUUUCUCACCUUCACAGAUGAUUUAAGCAGAUAUGGGUAUAUCUAUUUAAUGAAGCAUAAGUCUGAAACAUUUGAAAAGUUCAAAGAAUUUCAGAGUGAAGAUGAAAAUCAUCGUAACAAGAAAAUAAAGUUUCUACGAUCUGAUCGUGGAGGAGAAUAUUUGAGUUACGAGUUUGGUCUACACUUAAAACAAUGUGGAAUAGUUUCGCAACUCACGCCACCCGGAGCACCACAACGCAAUGGUGUGUUCGAACGUCGUAAUCGUACUUUACUUGAUAUGGUGCGAUCUAUGAUGUCUCUUACAGAUUUACCGCUAUCGUUUUGGGGUUACGCUUUAGAGACGGCCACAUUCACGUUAAAUAGGGCACCGUCGAAAUCCGUUGAGAUGACACCUUAUGAACUAUGGUUUGGCAAGAAACCAAAGUUGUCGUUUCUUAAAGUUUGGGGAUGCGAUGCCUAUGUGAAAAAGCUUCAACCUGAUAAGCUCGAACCCAAAUCGGAGAAAUGUGUCUUCAUAGGAUACCCAAAGGAGACAGUUGGGUACACCUUCUAUCACAGAUCCGAAGGCAAGACAUUCGUUGCUAAGAAUGGAUCCUUUCUAGAGAAGGAGUUUCUCUCGAAAGAAGUGAGUGGGAGGAAAGUAGAACUUGAUGAGGUAACUGUACCUACUCCCUUGUUGGAAAAUAAUACAUCACAGGAACCGGUUUCUGUGACGUCAAAACCAACUAGUGAGGAAGUUGAUGAUGAUGAUCAUAGAACUUCAGAUCAAGUUAAUACAGAACCUCGUAGGUCGAACAGAGUAAGAUCCGCACCAGAGUGGUACGGUAAUCCUAUUCUGGAAGUCAUGCUACUAGAUCAUGAUGAACCUACGAACUAUGAAGAAGCGAUGGUGAGCCCAGAUUCCGAAAAAUGGCUUGAAGCCAUGAAAUCUGAGAUGGGAUCCAUGUAUGAGAACAAAGUAUGGACUUUGGUUGACUUGCCCGAUGGUCGGCAAGCAAUUGAGAAUAAAUGGAUCUUCAAUAAGAAGACUGACGCUGACGGUAAUGUUACUGUCUACAAAGCUCGACUUGUUGCAAAAGGUUUUCGACAAGUUCAAGGGGUUGACUACGAUGAGACCUUCUCUCCCGUAGCGAUGCUUAAGUCUGUCCGAAUCAUGUUAGCAAUUGCCGCAUUUUAUGAUUAUGAAAUUUGGCAAAUGGAUGUAAAAACUGCAUUCCUGAAUGGAUUACUGGAAGAAGAGUUGUAUAUGAUGCAACCAGAAGGUUUUAUCGAUCCAAAGGGAGCUAACAAAGUGCGCAAGCUCCAGCGAUCCAUUUAUGGACUGGUGCAAGCCUCUCGGAGUUGGAAUAAACGUUUUGAUAGUGUGAUCAAAGCAUUUGGGUUUAUACAGACUUUUGGAGAAGCCUGUAUUUACAAGAAAGUGAGUGGGAGCUCUGUAGCAUUUCUAAUAUUAUAUGUGGAUGACAUAUUAUUGAUUGGAAAUGAUAUAGAAUUUCUGGAUAGCAUAAAGGGAUACUUGAAUAAAAGUUUUUCAAUGAAAGACCUCGGUGAAGCUGCUUACAUAUUGGGCAUUAAGAUCUAUAGAGAUAGAUCAAAACGCUUAAUUGGACUUUCACAAAGCACAUACCUUGACAAAGUUUUGAAGAAGUUCAAAAUGGAUCAAGCAAAGAAAGGGUUCUUGCCUGUAUUACAAGGUGUGAAGUUGAGUAAGACUCAAAGCCCGACCACUACAGAAGAUAGAGAGAAAAAGAAAAAUGUUCCCUAUGCUUCAGCCAUAGGCUCUAUCAUGUAUGUAAUGCUGUGUACCAGACCUGAUGUGUGCCUUGCUAUAAGUCUAGCAGGGAGGUACCAACGUAAUCCAGGAGUGGAUCACUGGACAGCGGUCAAGAACAUCCUGAAGUACCUGAAAAGGACUAAGGGUAUGUUUCUCGUAUAUGGAGGUGACAAAGAGCUCAUCGUAAAUGGUUACGUUGAUGCAAGCUUUGACACUGAUCCGGACGAUUCUAAAUCGCAAACCGGAUACGUGUUUACAUUAAACGGUGGAGCUGUCAGUUGGUGCAGUUCGAAACAAAGCAUCGUGACGGGAUCUACGUGUGAAGCGGAAUACAUAGCUGCUUCGGAAGCAGCCAAUGAAGGAGUCUGGAUGAAGGAGUUCAUAUCCGAUCUAGGUAUCAUACCUAGUGCAUCGGGUCCAAUGAAAAUCUUUUGUGACAAUACUGGAACGAUUGCCUUAGCGAAGGAAUCCAGAUUUCACAAGAGAACCAAGCACAUCAAGAGACGCUUCAAUUCCAUCCGGGAUCUAGUCCAGGUGGGAGACAUAGAGAUUUGCAAGAUACAUACGGAUCUGAAUGUUGCAGACCCGUUGACUAAGCCUCUUCAACGAGCAAAACAUGAUCAACACCAAGACUCCAUGGGUGUUAGAAUCAUUACUGUGUAAUCUAGAUUAUUGACUCUAGUGCAAGUGGGAGACUAAAGGAAAUAUGCCCUAGAGGCAAUAAUAAAGUUAUUAUUUAUUUCCUCAUAUCAUGAUAAAUGUUUAUUAUUCAUGCUAGAAUUGUAUUAACCGGAAACAUAAUACAUGUGUGAAUAUAUAGACAAACAGAGUGUCACUAGUAUGCCUCUACUUGACUAGCUUGUGAAUCAAAGAUGGUUAUGUUUCCUAACCAUGAACAAGGAGUUGUUAUUUGAUUAACAAGGUCACAUCAUUAGUUGAAUGAUCUGAUUGACAUGACCCAUUCCAUUAGCUUAGCACCCGAUCGUUUUAGUAUGUUGCUAUUG
rnacentral:lncRNA from 1 species